rnacentral:rRNA from 1 species
UACGAAGGGGGCGAGCGUUGUUCGGAUUUACUGGGCGUAAAGGGCGCGCAGGCGGCGAGUUUUGUCAGGCGUGAAAGCCCCGGGCUCAACCUGGGAAUUGCGCUUGAAACGGGCUUGCUAGAGAUCGGGAGAGGAGCGUGGAAUUCCCAGUGUAGAGGUGAAAUGCGCAGAUAUCAGGAGGAACACCGGUGGCGAAGGCGGGUCUCUGGGCCGAUACUGACGCUGAGGAGCGAAAGCGUGGGGAGCGAACAGG